UAACAGCUCAAAUUUGAAAUCUGGCUCCCCUGGAGUCCGAGUUGUAAUUUGUAGAAGAUGCUUUGGGUUGUGGGUUCGGCCUAAGUUCCUUGGAACAGGACGUCAUAGAGGGUGAGAAUCCCGUACGUGGCCGAGGCCCGCGCCUAUGUAAAGCUCUUUCAACGAGUCGAGUUGUUUGGGAAUGCAGCUCAAAAUGGGUGGUAAAUUUCAUAUAAAGCUAAAUAUGGGCCAGAGACCGAUAGCGCACAAGUAGAGUGAUCGAAAGAUGAAAAGCACUUUGGAAAGAGAGUUAAACAGUACGUGAAAUUGUUGAAAGGGAAGCGCUUGCACCCAGACUUGGGCGCUGUCGAUCACCUUGAGUUCCUCUCGAGUGCACUCGACAGCGCACAGGCCAGCAUCGGUUCGGGUGGCUGGAUAAAGGCCGUAGGAACGUAGCUCCCUCCGGGGAGUGUUAUAGCCUACGGUGCCAUGCAGCCCAGCCGGACCGAGGACCGCGCCUUCGGGCUAGGAUGCUGGCGUAAUGGGUGUAAGCGACCCGUCUUGAAACACGGACCAAGGAGUCUAACAUCUAUGCGAGUGUUUGGGUGGUAAACCCAUACGCGGAAUGAAAGUGAACGUAGGUGAGAACCCCUUUGGGGCGCAUCAUCGACCGUCCUGAUU
rnacentral:rRNA from 2 species